rnacentral:rRNA from 1 species
UACGUAGGGGGCUAGCGUUGUCCGGAAUCAUUGGGCGUAAAGCGCGUGUAGGCGGUCCGGUAAGUCCGCUGUGAAAGUCGGGGGCUCAACCCUCGAAUGCCGGUGGAUACUGUCGAGCUCGAGCACGGUAGAGGCAGAUGGAAUUCCCGGUGUAGCGGUGGAAUGCGUAGAGAUCGGGAAGAACAUCAGUGGCGAAGGCGGUCUGCUGGGCCGUUGCUGACGCUGAGGCGCGACAGCGUGGGGAGCAACAGG